GACGAACGCUGGCGGCGUGCUUAACACAUGCAAGUCGAACGGAAAGGCCCUGCUUUUGUGGGGUGCUCGAGUGGCGAACGGGUGAGUAACACGUGAGUAACCUGCCCUUGACUUUGGGAUAACUUCAGGAAACUGGGGCUAAUACCGGAUAGGAGCUCCUGCUGCAUGGUGGGGGUUGGAAAGUUUCGGCGGUUGGGGAUGGACUCGCGGCUUAUCAGCUUGUUGGUGGGGUAGUGGCUUACCAAGGCUUUGACGGGUAGCCGGCCUGAGAGGGUGACCGGCCACAUUGGGACUGAGAUACGGACCAGACUCCUACGUGAGGCAGCAGCGGGGAAUAGUGCACAAUGGGCGGAAGCCUGAUGCAGCAACGCCGCGUGCGGGAUGAAGGCCUUCGGGUUGUAAACCGCUUUCGCCUGGGACGAAGCGUGAGUGAAGGUAAUGGGUAAAGAAGCAACGGCUAGCUACGUG
rnacentral:rRNA from 1 species